rnacentral:rRNA from 1 species
UACAGAGGUCCCAAGCGUUGUUCGGAUUCACUGGGCGUAAAGGGUGCGUAGGCGGUCCGCUAAGUUGGAUGUGAAAACUCUGGGCUUAACCCAGAGCCUGCAUUCAAAACUGACGGGCUAGAGUUCUGGAGGGGGUAGCGGAAUUCCUGGUGUAGCGGUGAAAUGCGUAGAUAUCAGGAGGAACACCGGUGGCGAAGGCGGCUACCUGGACAGAAACUGACGCUGAGGCACGAAAGCUAGGGGAGCAAACAGG